UGGUGAUGAGCCAACAAAGGUAGAAAAGCAGAAGCGUGUCUGGCAAAGCACAGACAGUCAGAAACACUCAAAAGUCUUCUGAGCCUUCUCUAAAGUGCCACCAUGAUAAACAACUGCUCGUUUGACAGCGUGGACAACUUGAUGAGAUAUUCGGAGUUGAUCAUCUACAUACCCAUAUUCCUUAUUGGGAUGAUUGUCAAUUUUACAGCUCUGGUGCUGUUCUGUGCGUGUUUCCCAAAAUGGACGGAGUCAGCAAUAUACAUGACCAGCUUGGCCUUGAUGGACCUUCUUCUUCUCUUACCUCUUCCCUUUAAAAUGCAUGCAGCUUAUCACACGUGGGAUAAACAUCUCCUGCCACUUUGUUUGGUCUUGGAGAACCUGUACUUUGUUGGAAUAUAUGGAAGCAUCUACAUGAUUAUGUGUAUAGCUAUGGAUAGAUGGGUGUCAAUUUGUUACCCAUUCAGAUCCAAGCAGCUGCGUUCACCUAAAGUGGCUGUGAUGAUCUGCAUCGGUGUUUGGUUGCUGGUAUUCGCUGCAAUCUUUCCAGUCACCUACAACUUUGGGGAGAACAGGCAAGAGAAGUUCCACUGCUUCCACGGGUUUUCAAAGAAAGGCUGGAGUCCUGGGGUGAUCAUCUGCCUGCAGGUGUUUGGGUUUCUGGGGCCUGCACUGGUGAUAAUAUGCUGUUCAAUUCAUAACAUCGGGACACUUAAGCAGUCUGGCCAGCACAGUGCCCAGAGCCGGGCCUGCGUGAAGAUCAUCUACAGCAGCCUGGGCGCCUUUCUGGUGCCGUUCACUCCAAGUCACUUGGGCAUCUUCCUGCAGUUUCUGGUGCACCAAGGAAUGAUUCAGGACUGUGACACCAAGAAACAUAUCAGCAUGUUCAUUCAGAUUUCCAUGUGUUUGUCCAACAUCACCUGCUGUCUGGACGCUUUCUGCUAUUACUUCAUCGCCCGUGAAAUGAGGAGCCCCAGACAGAUGCUGACAAAUAGGAACUCAAGAAGAACCACCUUCAGCACUUCAGAGGUCUGAUUACCUGAUAAGGACACCUCAUGAUAUGAUUUGAACCUAGAAGGCCAAUGGGCAUACAUGAUGGCUGUGCACUCUGAUGAGGACUAAAAUCUAAAUAAAAUAUAACAUUUUUUCUGUCUGCUUUUUUUAGUGCAAACAUGCUGUCAGUAAUGUCAACUCUGCAAAGAAAGUAAACCAUAAUUUACACACUGAUUAUGUGCAUGCAUUAUGUGCAUGCUUCACUGAAAAUGAUUAACUUUAAAAGACAAUAAAAGUUUGUUC